GGCGAACCGUCCAAACGUUAUUCGGAAUUACUGGGCUUAAAGGGUGCGUAGGCGGCUCUGCAAGUUGGGUGUGAAAUCCCUCGGCUCAACCGAGGAAUGGCGCCCAAAACUGUGGAGCUCGAGGGAGACAGAGGUGAGUGGAACUUGUGGUGGAGCGGUGAAAUGCGUUGAUAUCACAAGGGACACCGGUGGCGAAAGCGGCUCACUGGGUCUCUUCUGACGCUGAGGCACGAAAGAUGGGGGAGCGAACGGGAUUAGAUACCCUGGUAGUCCCU
rnacentral:rRNA from 1 species